UUUUUUUCUUUUUAGGAAUGCACCUGUGGCAUAUGGAAGUUCCCAGGCUAGGGCCGAAUUGGAACUGCAGCUGCUGGCCUAUGCCGCAGCCACAGCAACACCAGAUCCAGGUCGUAUUUGUGACCUAUGCCUCAGCUUGCAGUAAUGCCAGACUCUUAACCCACUGAGCAGCCAGAGAUUGAACCCACAUCUUCACAGACACUAUGUCUGAUUCUUAAUCUGCUGAGCCACAACAGGAACUCCUACAUUGUUUAAAGUAUUAAAAAAUUAAGAUGGAUUGUAGACUUUCCAAUUUACAUAAAAAAUAGGUUUUUAAUCACUGUGAGAGGCAUCUAUGAGACAGAUGGAAAGGAUGAGUAAGAAGGAGAUCUCAAAAGCUUCCCAGGAGAAGUUUCUAAGACUGGGAAUGCUCCAUCUACUCAGAAGUCUUUGCCCUUGGGGACCGGGCCUGGGACAGGAGACAGUGGGCUUGCUCACAGCAGUGCAAGCCUCUUGCUCAUGGUUCUCAGCUCUGUAUAUCAGACCCUUUAAAAACACCCAGGUCUAGGUCCCAUGCUCCUAUGGUUGUCAGAUAAUGCAAGGUGUGACUUUUGGAUAAAUAACCACGUGAUUUUUAGCAUAAGUACAUCCCCCAUAUCACAUGCCAGCUUCAUAGACUGCCUGGUUCUCUGUCAAUUCACCAGAAACUCUGUGACUUUCUAAAGGGGGUUCCCCUGAGGAGAACCAGAGCCACAGGUACAAGAAUCCCCCAUUGUCAUCUCAGUGUCCACAUCCCGCCUGUCCCAUGCAAGUGUCCACAAAGUCACAUGGACUCUGAUUCUAUUUUAUGUUCCCAGGUUCCGGCUCAUGCUGUGCCCUCUCCUCUGAAUGGUCCUUCCACUGCCCCUCCAGCAUGUAUCCAUACAAGAACCCUCACUGGUUCAAACCCAACCCCCCAUAGGAGGCACCUGUGCUGACCUUCUAGGAGGAAGUGACUUCCUGUUUCUACAGCAGACCCAGCAAGCACAGCAAAAUGACUCUGGGGUAUAGGGGAGGCUAUGGCAUCUUCCCAUGGGUGUCCGGCAAUUUGCAGGGUGAACGGCACAGGGAAGGUUGUCACACAAAACUCCUCCUGGCAGCCUGUGACCCAAACUUAAAGGAAAAGAAGUUAACAUUUGAAGGUAGAAUUUCUAUCUUCAAAUGGGGUGUGUGUUGGGGUGGGGUGGGGGUGAGGACUUUGAUCUCCUUCAAAUCAGAGCCCCCAGGACUGGGGUGGGGGCAGUCUGAGCUUUGGGGGCUGGCAAGCCUGCUGCAAACCUCAUCCCAUCUGCCCUAUGAGGCCAAAUGCCUUCAAAUUGUCUGCUGGGCUCAGCAUCUUACCCAGGAAUCAGAACAACAGUGCUUGCCCCAUAGGGAAUUCUAAGAGGACUCACACCAAAGGCUGAUCCUGAUAGGCCCCAAGAGGAGCCAACUCCCACUGCCAUGUUCAGGCCCUAAGGAGUAAUUCCUCCUGCAGCAUCCUGGCCAGACCUCUGUCCCCAACUUGCUCCCCAUCAGGUGACUGUGGUCACUGGAACUCAGUUCUGGUGUCUAAGAAAGGGAAGAGACUUCCUGGCUCCCACUGCCUGCUUCUGUGUCCCCCCUGGGGACAAGUUGAGAAGCAGCUGGUGAGUGCUGGGCCCAGGCCCGCUUUAUCAGCACCAGCCUGCCCGGUGCAGAUGGGGGGUGGUGGUGCAGAUCCCCUGCUGCUGCCUGAUAAGAGGCUCAGCUCCACUUGCUGGAAACUGAGGGAACCUUAUCAGAGGCAGGCCUGGGGGAAGGAGCUGUUUCCAUCAGCAUGCAUGCAUAAAGGGAAGGGAAAAAAAACUCGGGAAAAAACAGAGGCAGACACAGCCAAGCUGCAUAGGGGGCUGAGCUGUGCACCUGCUGGUGCAGAGGCUUGGGCAGCCCUGCUCAGGAGGGAGGGGGCCCUGAGCUGAAUCGAAGAGGCAGGGUCAGAUAUCCUCUGUGUAUGUGUAUGUAUGCGUGUGUGUGUGUGUGUGUGUGUGUGUGUGUGCGCGCGCGCGCGCGUGCGCAUGCACACACUUAAGAAUGAAGCACUUGUGUCCGUGGACUUGUAGCACAUAAGCACACAGCAUCAUGGGGAGGAUAUGCUGCCUGCAGGUGAGCU
rnacentral:lncRNA from 1 species